GGGUGGGUAGCAAAGUAGACAAAUGCAGUGGACUGUAAAUCCGCUGGCUUCGGCCUUCGUAGGUGCAAAUCCUACCCCACCCA
rnacentral:tRNA from 5 species